ensembl:lncRNA
CAAACCAACAUAGAACAAACCUACAUAGAACAAACCUACAUAGAACAAACCUACAUAGAACAAACCUACAUAGAACAAACCAACAUUUUCGGGACAAAAAAAGAGCCUGAACUCUUCUUCUGCAUGGAAUAAAAACAGCUAAAUGCUAAUUUGUUAUUUUUUUGGGGGGGGGGGAAACCAGAAGCCUUCUUUUUGGAGAUAUUAUGCAUCUCUGAAAACAUGAUGUAUGUUUCUAUGUGUGUGUUUGUAUGUGAGGGAGAAGGAUAGAAGGAGAGAGGGAGAGAGAGCAUCAGUGUGUGAAGUCAUCACGAGGAGAGGAAGAGAGAGAAACCGCGUCCCUCGGUGAGGUUAUUCGCUGUAGCAAUUUGAGAGAAAAGGAGAAACUCCUCACAUUGAAGGGAUGAGUGGAAGGACUGUAGGGUCCAGGGGCUACACCUUAACCACCUGAAAUAGCAUCCUCUCCUUGUCUCCUUUCUAAAAGGAAGCCAGAAUCGUCUACACCUUAACCAUCUAAAAUAGCAUCCUCUCCUUGUCUCCUUUCUAAAAGGAAGCCAGAAUCGUCUACACCUUAACCAUCUAAAAUAGCAUCCUCUCCUUGUCUCCUUUCUAAAAGGAAGCCAGAAUCGUCUACACCUUAACCAUCUAAAAUAGCAUCCUCUCCUUGUCUCCUUUCUAAAAGGAAGCCAGAAUCGUCUACACCUUAAAAGUCUAAAGAAAGAUCACUCACCAUAUAAUCAGUGAGUUUAACUUCAGUUACACACUAACCAACUCUCAGGUAAGACUUGACACAAUGUGUACAGUACGUCGUUUGUAAAGCAAGCGGCUGGGUUUCUACAUGAAAACAAAACCAUUCAUUCUCCCUUAGAAUUAGAAUUGAGUUCUAAUUCAAUCCCUUAGAAUUCGAUUUAGAAUUGAGUUCUAAUUCAAUCCCUUAGAAUUCGAUUUAGAAUUGAGUUCUAAUUCAAACCCUUAGAAAUCGAUUUAGAAUUGAGUUCUAAUUCAAUCCCCCAGAAUGUGAGUUAGAAUUGAGUUGUAGUUCUAUGGUUCCCCUCUCUCUCUCUCUCUCUCCACUCUUCUCUAUGGUGUCACUGACCUUCUCAAACCUUCCUCCCUCUAACCUCGUCUCCCAACCGGCUGUCUCUGAAGCUCUGUGAUUGGUGGACUGGACUCAGCGGUGCGCUGAUGUGACAAUGAACGGAAGUUCUGUUUGGGUUCUAGAUCCAGAACGUUGGGUUCCAAUCCGGAAUGCUCGAAGGGGAUUUUCUAGCUCACCUUGAGCCACUGACAUAUAGUACAUACUAUGUAGUAACCAUGACCACACUGUCCCUGGAUGUACGGAAAUCAUGGAGCUGGAUUCCAACCCACAGGGUCUGGAUUCAGGAGCUGAGUUAGCCCUAACGGACCAGGAGAACUUUGCUACAAGAGACUCUGAAAACAAUGAUUUGUGUUUAUUACAAGACAGAUCUUUUGUUCCCGGGAAGUCAAACUGCUGUUUUAAUGCAGAGUCUCGUACAGACAUCCUACCCUACUACCACACUACUCUACCUUUCCUUACCCGGCCGAACACGGACCUAUAGGAACAUGAAUCUGUGUCUGCGUACGGUAUGGCACCCUAGUCCCUAUAGAAGACAUAUAGGGGGUCAGUCGUCAAAAGUCGGCUAAAGUCGUGAAGUGUGCAGGGAUUCGGGUGGCAUGUGGGAGGCUGGCACGGUGUGGGAGUAUGUCUGUUUUAUAUACUGCACGUUUAAAGACAAUUUAAAUCACUUCUUCUUAGCCCUGUUAUGUGGGCCUGGAGAGAUAGAGGACAGGGUGAUAACAGGCCUGGAGAGAUAGAGGACAGGGUGAUAACAGGCCUGCAGAGAUAGAGGACAGGGUGAUAACAGGCCUGGAGAGAUAGAGGACAGGGUGAUAACAGGCCUGGAGAGAUAGAGGACAGGGUGAUAACAGGCCUGGAGAGAUAGAGGACAGGGUGAUAACAGGCCUGGAGAGAUAGAGGACAGGGUGAUAACAGGCCUGGAGAGAUAGAGGACAGGGUGAUAACAGACCUGGAGAGAGAGAGAGAGGACAGGGUGAUAACAGGCCUGGAGAGAUAGAGGACAGGGUGAUAACAGACCUGAGAGAGAGAGAGAGGACAGGGUGAUAACAGGCCUGGAGAGAUAGAGAGAGGACAGGGUGACAACAGGCCUGGAGAGAUAGAGGACAGGGUGAUAACAGGCCUGGAGAGAGAGAGAGAGGACAGGGUGAUAACAGGCCUGGAGAGAGAGAGGACAGGGGGAUAACAGACCUGAGAGAGAGAGAGAGAGAGAGAGAGGACAGGGUGAUAACAGACCUGAAGAGAGAGAGAGAGGACAGGGUGAUAACAGACCUGGAGAGAAAGGACAGGGUGAUAACAGACCUGGAGAGAGAGAGAGAGGACAGGGUGAUAACAAGGUUAAUGUCGUCUUAAAGAGAUAUUUGCAUUCACCUGUUUAGGACUUUAUUUUUGAAAGGUGACACCUCCUGUGCAUCCUAAAUGGUACCCUAUAUUGUGCACUACUUAUGACCAGAGUCUGUGGCCCAAGUAGUGCACUAUAUAGGGAAUAGGGUGCCUUUUGAAAUCCUGAUUGGUCGAUUACCUAAUAGCCAUCUAUAGAACUGUAAGAACUACCCCGUAGAACCGAGGAACCCGUAGAACACGCAGAACAGAGAACAAUGUUAAUAACAGAUAAAAAGGCAUGUUUUACCUGUUUCAAUUUUGCAUUAAAAAAACAACUAAAAAAACUAAAAACAUUAUUUUUCCUCUUGAUUUUCUCCUUUUUUUAAAAUUGAUCUGUUGCUGCUCUAUUAUUAACUGGGAUUCAUUCAUUAUUCAACUUAAUGCAUUUUCUAAUGAUUACGAGGACGAGGUGUGCUUCCCGACAUGGUACCCUAUUCCUUAUAUCGUGGACUAUAGAGGGCCCUGGUCAACAGUA